CUGUCCCGGGGGUCGAUCCAGCUGGUCUGCUUGGUGUUGUGAUCGAUGUAGAACACUUUGCCGUCGUAAUCCCUUGCCUCCUCCCAGCCAUCGGAGGCAUCGGUGGAAAGUACACGUACACCAUGUGUGCCCUGAACCCUUGCGGCCUGAAAAGCAGGCAGCUAAGUCACAUUAAGUAUAGAAACCAGGUGUGAGUUACUGUGUGUUUAUCUCGCAUUUGCCACAGGAGAAGAGUAUCCCAGGCAGGUUACCAUGGUUCAGCUGAUAGAAGUCUAUUUGUCUACUCCAUUAUAGCUAUCUAACAUUCAGCUCUAUGAAUUCUUCUUCAGAGACAACUUACACUUAUUAAGUACUGGACUUGUUCA